UCCCAGUACUCCUCUUCAAGCUCACUCAAGGACUACAGUACAACCGUUAUCACGAGUGAGGAAGGGUGUGCCUUAGCUAGUCACAUGACAACAAAGAAACCAGUCCCUCCUCCUCCUCCUCCCCCUCCCCCUCACUCUACCUAUGGGAAACCAAUAGACCUCACUGUCACCAGUGCUAGAAUUGUCCCAAUAUCUCAUCCAUCUCCCCCCAGUCAUCAAUGGAAGGAAGUGAAUAGAAGAGUAUGAAGGGGAGGUCCCUCACGUUAUGCAUCAGGAACCUACACACAGAUUCAUGGAGUUAUACCUAGAUCAGAUUUAAUGACAAUAAAACAAAACAACUGGUGAUGAUACUAAUGAUUGAUUAUACACUGGCAUACAUGUACAGGCAACUUCUCUAAAUUCAUGUUCUU
rnacentral:lncRNA from 1 species